GGCUUGGUGAGCAGAAGAGAAUUCUUUAAAAACAAUAAAAAUCUUACGGUUUAAAAACUUUUGGCUGGUAUAUGUUAGUCUAUAGUU